rnacentral:rRNA from 1 species
UACGUAGGGGGCAAGCGUUGUCCGGAAUCAUUGGGCGUAAAGAGCUCGUAGGCGGUUCGGUUAGUCGGGUGUGAAAUCUCCACGCUUAACGUGGAGGGGCCACUCGAUACUGCCGUGACUCGAGUCCGGUAGAGGAGUGUGGAAUUCCCGGUGUAGCGGUGAAAUGCGCAGAUAUCGGGAGGAACACCAGUAGCGAAGGCGGCACUCUGGGCCGGAACUGACACUGAGGAGCGAAAGCGUGGGGAGCAAACAGG